AUUCACCUGCUCCAACCCUGGCAAGUCCAGAUCUCCUCUUCCUCCCUGCCCCCGGGAGCAGGGUCUUUGAUCUGAUCGUGUUGUAACUACCCCAGCGUUCAGAGCAGUGCUUCGCCCAUGCACAAGGUGAAGAAGAGUAGGGGAGAAAGGUCACCGAUCCCACGUGACACCAAGAACCACCCUGAGAUUUUCCCCAAGAAUCCGAACAUGGUACCUUUGCUCUCAGCUGAUAAAGGAUGGUCAGGAGGCCCACCGGUUAGAGGCUGCUGAUGCUCAGCCCUCUGGCAAAACUGACCACUGCCACAGACCCAAGGCCGAUCCCAAGCCCUGGCCAGAAGGAAACGAGGAACCGAGACAAGCUUCAACCCCGAGUCGAGCCAGACGCCGGACAUCCGCAGCGCUGGAGAGGCGGUGGCUUUCCUCUCAGGACAACA